GAGUUUGAUCCUGGCUCAGAUUGAACGCUGGCGGCAGGCCUAACACAUGCAAGUCGAGCGGAAACGAUGGAAGCUUGCUUCCAGGCGUCGAGCGGCGGACGGGUGAGUAAUGCAUAGGAAUCUGCCCGAUAGUGGGGGAUAACCUGGGGAAACUCAGGCUAAUACCGCAUACGUCCUACGGGAGAAAGCAGGGGAUCUUCGGACCUUGCGCUAUCGGAUGAGCCUAUGUCGGAUUAGCUAGUUGGUGAGGUAACGGCUCACCAAGGCCGCGAUCCGUAGCUGGUCUGAGAGGAUGAUCAGCCACAUCGGGACUGAGACACGGCCCGAACUCCUACGGGAGGCAGCAGUGGGGAAUAUUGGACAAUGGGCGAAAGCCUGAUCCAGCCAUGCCGCGUGUGUGAAGAAGGCCCUCGGGUUGUAAAGCACUUUCAGUGGGGAAGAAAUCCUCAGGGCCAAUACCCCUGAGGGAGGACAUCACCCACAGAAGAAGCACCGGCUAACUCCGUGCCAGCAGCCGCGGUCA
rnacentral:rRNA from 1 species